rnacentral:rRNA from 2 species
GACGAACGCUGGCGGCGUGCCUAAUACAUGCAAGUCGAACGAACUCUGGUAUUGAUUGGUGCUUGCAUCAUGAUUUACAUUUGAGUGAGUGGCGAACUGGUGAGUAACACGUGGGAAACCUGCCCAGAAGCGGGGGAUAACACCUGGAAACAGAUGCUAAUACCGCAUAACAACUUGGACCGCAUGGUCCGAGYUURAAAGAUGGCUUCGGCUAUCACUUUUGGAUGGUCCCGCGGCGUAUUAGCUAGAUGGUGRGGUAACGGCUCACCAUGGCAAUGAUACGUAGCCGACCUGAGAGGGUAAUCGGCCACAUUGGGACUGAGACACGGCCCAAACUCCUACGGGAGGCAGCAGUAGGGAAUCUUCCACAAUGGACGAAAGUCUGAUGGAGCAACGCCGCGUGAGUGAAGAAGGGUUUCGGCUCGUAAAACUCUGUUGUUAAAGAAGAACAUAUCUGAGAGUAACUGUUCAGGUAUUGACGGUAUUUAACCAGAAAGCCACGGCUAACUACGUGCCAGCAGCCGCGGUAAUACGUAGGUGGCAAGCGUUGUCCGGAUUUAUUGGGCGUAAAGCGAGCGCAGGCGGUUUUUUAAGUCUGAUGUGAAAGCCUUCGGCUCAACCGAAGAAGUGCAUCGGAAACUGGGAAACUUGAGUGCAGAAGAGGACAGUGGAACUCCAUGUGUAGCGGUGAAAUGCGUAGAUAUAUGGAAGAACACCAGUGGCGAAGGCGGCUGUCUGGUCUGUAACUGACGCUGAGGCUCGAAAGUAUGGGUAGCAAACAGGAUUAGAUACCCUGGUAGUCCAUACCGUAAACGAUGAAUGCUAAGUGUUGGAGGGUUUCCGCCCUUCAGUGCUGCAGCUAACGCAUUAAGCAUUCCGCCUGGGGAGUACGGCCGCAAGGCUGAAACUCAAAGGAAUUGACGGGGGCCCGCACAAGCGGUGGAGCAUGUGGUUUAAUUCGAAGCUACGCGAAGAACCUUACCAGGUCUUGACAUACUAUGCAAAUCUAAGAGAUUAGACGUUCCCUUCGGGGACAUGGAUACAGGUGGUGCAUGGUUGUCGUCAGCUCGUGUCGUGAGAUGUUGGGUUAAGUCCCGCAACGAGCGCAACCCUUAUUAUCAGUUGCCAGCAUUAAGUUGGGCACUCUGGUGAGACUGCCGGUGACAAACCGGAGGAAGGUGGGGAUGACGUCAAAUCAUCAUGCCCCUUAUGACCUGGGCUACACACGUGCUACAAUGGAUGGUACAACGAGUUGCGAACUCGCGAGAGUAAGCUAAUCUCUUAAAGCCAUUCUCAGUUCGGAUUGUAGGCUGCAACUCGCCUACAUGAAGUCGGAAUCGCUAGUAAUCGCGGAUCAGCAUGCCGCGGUGAAUACGUUCCCGGGCCUUGUACACACCGCCCGUCACACCAUGAGAGUUUGUAACACCCAAAGUCGGUGGGGUAACCUUUUAGGAACCAGCCGCCUAAGGUGGGACAGAUGAUUAGGGUGAAGUCGUAACAAGGUAGCCGUAGGAGAACCUGC